rnacentral:misc_RNA from 1 species
AAGUCGUAACAAGGUUUCCGUAGGUGAACCUGCGGAAGGAUCAUUAUUGAAUUAAACUUGAAACGGGUUGUUGCUGGCUCUCCUCCUUGGGGUUGCAUGUGCACGCUUGUUUUUUUCUUUAUUUCUCCAACUGUGCACGAAUUGUAGACCUGGUCUAUGUUUUUCACAAUCUCUGAAUGUAUUAGAAUGGCUGGGAACAAAAAAUAUACAUACAACUUUCAGCAACGGAUCUCUUGGCUCUCGCAUCGAUGAAGAACGCAGCGAAAUGCGAUAAGUAAUGUGAAUUGCAGAAUUCAGUGAAUCAUCGAAUCUUUGAACGCACCUUGCGCCCAUUGGUAUUCCGAUGGGCAUGCCUGUUUGAGUGUCUUGAAAUCAUCAAGCCCGUUCGGUUUCACCGCCAAGCGGGAUUGGACCUGGGGGCUUGCCGCUUCGCCGCGGCUCCCCUUAAAUGCAUCGGUUUCGGGUCUCUGUGGGAGUAACCCCUUGGGCGUUGUAUAACCCUCGCCGUCUGGGAACUCCUCGCGACGUCCGCGUCGUCGAAGGGCCUUGAAGGAACCUCGACCUGCUGUAGAGCGGCGGUCAACGUUAAUUUGAAAUCUGACCUCAAUCAGGUAGGACUACCCGCUGAACUUAAGCAUAUCAAUAAGCGGAGGARAAGAAACUAACAAGGAUUCCCCUAGUAACUGCGAGUGAAGCGGGAAAAGCUCAAAUUUAAAAUCUGGCGGUCUAUGGCUGUCCGAGUUGUAAUCUAGAGAA